ensembl:lncRNA
GGCUCUGGGAGAGCUGAUGAGAUUACUCGAGACCUAAAAAACUCCAGUGCUAAAAUGAGAGUUACUGCAGUUGUAGAAAUAGCAAUAGCAAUGAGAGAACUUGCCAUACCUUGACCUAUUCUUUUAUCUGAAUGCAAGCCCUCACAUAGUGAUUGGAUAUUAACAGUUUGGUAUGUCUGCAUUUGCUUUCUUUUCAUGCUCUGCUUUCCAGAUUAGGUCUGAGAGCUAAGGACAGGUUCUAGAAGAAGACUCUUCAUUGCUCUGGGUACUACAUUCCUGCCUUUGGGAAAAUAAUUGAGUGUUUUCCAUUGUAAAUUGUGCAAUAAGGACUGACCUGGUCUCAAGUAUCUAUAAUCCUGAAAAUUUGGUGAUGUUGCCACCUCUCUUAGUUGAUCUCACCAAAACCUCAUGUCUCCCAGCAGAAUAUGGAGAUCAUUUUGCAUGACAGUUAACAUUAUGAAAUAAUUUUGUAUAUGAAAAAGCAGUUUCCUAUGACUUCUACUGUAAUGGAAAGCACUUGUGAUUCAUGCCAAUACUGAGGUGGAAUACGAGAACAACAGACUAAAGCCAUCCUCCAGCCCCUUGUGUAACCCAGGACAUAUUUUCCAUGUCUGGAUGAAGCAGUCCUCUAUAACGCUGUACAUUCACCACAUUUAAUAUUUUAAGUAAUGGCCAUUCUCUGCUCUGAAUGAGAGGCAGGGUGCCCAGAGGAAAAUGAGCAUGUAGUCACUUCUUUUGGAGUCAUAUCCUACUACAUGGGUACAACAAGGCCAAAGGCAGAUAUAUUUCACAACCUGUGUCUGGUAUGUCCCUUCUCUUUGGUGCUUGACUAUGCAAUCUUACUGUUCUUUUAACAGUAGUCUAAUUUCUUCACUUUCCCUUUUUAAAUAAUGCAAAGCUGAAAAUGGCCAAGUCAUUGUCAUGAGAAUAGUCUCUCCUGACUAUCUCGGGAGGGAUAAAAGCUCCAGGUCUCUGGCAGCGGGUGAAUUGAUGCAAUCGAUGGCAAUAGCGAACUGUUUGAGCCAUCCCCUGAAAGGACUACCAUGCUGGUUUUAUCAGGGGUUUCACAGGUAUUUGCUGAUAGCAGACUGUUGAGCCUCAGGUCUCAGGUACUGUGCUGGGAAAAGUGUCUUACAGACUAGCACUCCCCUUUCAUCCUUCCUCCCUAUUUAUCUAUGGCACCUUUGCUGCUGUCUCCUGCCACUUGUCUUCUUCCUCUUCUGCUUCUGCCUCUCAUUAGCCAGAAGCGAUAGAGCCGGCAGCUGGAGUCAUGGGAAGGACUUCUUUAUCCAGUGUGCUCUCACAUGCUGGGGCUUUAAAGUUGCAGAGCUGGCAGUCAGAGCAGUUUGCAUUGCUGAGCCUUCCAGUCCCCAUCUGAACUAGUUCCUCUUGGGCCCAUGUGGGAACACCAAGUUGAUUUGUUCACCUCAAACCUCAUUCUUGGAGCCAAGAGAAUUACUUUUGCUAGAAGCUUCUCCUAGAAAAUCAACCAGAGCCAGACAUCCAGCAUGAUUUCCUUCAGUGCUUAGAGAUUAUUAAAAAGCAAUUUAAGCAGCUGCAAAUCAGAUCUUCUGUCAUCUGCAACAAA